CCGCCCCUCUGCCGCCCCCUCCCCGCCGCGGUUCCCGGUCCCGGUUCGGGCGGCGGCGGCGGGAGCGGGGAGGGGGCGGCGGCGGCGGCCCCGCAGACCCCCAGCGAGCUGAGGAUGAUCGGGGGGGUCCCAAGAGCUUUCCCUCCCCCCCCAGCAGCUCAGGGGUGCUGGGAGCUGAGCUGAGGGUCCCUAAGCUGCUGGUUUGUGUGUGACACCUCCCC